rnacentral:sRNA from 1 species
UGAAUCAUAAUGCUGUGCUAGACUGAGGU